rnacentral:rRNA from 1 species
UACGUAGGUGGCAAGCGUUGUCCGGAUUUACUGGGCGUAAAGAGCGCGCAGGCGGUCAAGUCAGUCGAAUGUGAAAGCCCCCGGCUCAACUGGGGAGGGUCAUUCGAUACUGCUCGACUUGAAGGCAGGAGAGGGAAGUGGAAUUCCCGGUGUAGUGGUGAAAUGCGUAGAUAUCGGGAGGAACACCAGUGGCGAAGGCGACUUUCUGGCCUGUUCUUGACGCUGAGGCGCGAAAGCUAGGGGAGCAAACGGG